rnacentral:rRNA from 1 species
UACGGGGGGGGCAAGCGUUGUUCGGAAUUACUGGGGGUAAAGGGCUCGUAGGCGGCCACCUAAGUCAGACGUGAAAUCCCUCGGCUUAACCGGGGAACUGCGUCUGAUACUGGAUGGCUGGAGGUUGGGAGAGGGAUGCGGAAUUCCAGGUGUAGCGGUGAAAUGCGUAGAUAUCGGGAGGAACACCAGUAGCGAAGGCGGCUCGCUGGGCCAUUCCUGACGCUGAGGCACGAAGGUCAGGGGAGCAAACGGG